CUGGCGGCAUGCUUUACACAUGCAAGUCGAACGGCAGCACGGGUGCUUGCACCUGGUGGCGAGUGGCGAACGGGUGAGUAAUAUAUCGGAACGUACCCGGCAAUGGGGGAUAACGUAGCGAAAGUUACGCUAAUACCGCAUAUGCCCUGAGGGGGAAAGUGGGGGAUCGGAAACGACCUCACGUUGUCGGAGCGGCCGAUAUCAGAUUAGCUAGUUGGUGGGGUAAAGGCCUACCAAGGCGACGAUCUGUAGCUGGUCUGAGAGGAUGAUCAGCCACACUGGGACUGAGACACGGCCCAGACUCCUACGGGAGGCAGCAGUGGGGAAAUUUUGGACAAUGGGGGCAACCCCUGAUCCAGCCCAUGCCGCGUUGAGUUGAAAAAAGGCCUUCCGGUUUGUUAAGCUCCUU
rnacentral:rRNA from 1 species